rnacentral:rRNA from 1 species
UACGUAGGGGGCAAGCGUUGUCCGGAAUCAUUGGGCGUAAAGCGCGCGUAGGCGGCCCGGUAAGUCCGUUGUGAAAGUCAAAGGCUCAACCUUUGAACGCCGAUGGAUACUGCCGGGCUAGAGUCCGGAAGAGGCGAGUGGAAUUCCUGGUGUAGCGGUGGAAUGCGCAGAUAUCAGGAGGAACACCAAUAGCGAAGGCAGCGCGCUGGGACGGUACUGACGCUGAGGCGCGAAAGCGUGGGGAGCGAACAGG